GUCAGNAGGUAAUCCAUUGCCGGAACCAUACUUUGAACUUUAAAAAAAAACAGAUCGACUGGUGAGUUUCGAUACAAAGGAUAGUUUUUUGGAGGAUCUCAGUUUACAAGAAGAUAGUUCCUACAGAUAUUCUGGAUUGCAAGAUCAUUACCUGUUUUUGGGAUUUGGAUUCUUAAUUUCAAGCUGAUUAUGAUAUCUGCACUACUUUUUUUUAUGCCAUAAAUGCCUAGAUGGAAAUGAUGCUGCAGAAGCCAUGAAGAAUAUGGAUUCAGAUAUAUAAAGAUCCCAAACAUUAGGAUGUGAUAAUGAGGGAAAUAAGUGCUGGUAUUCUUAUGGAACAAGGUUGCUCAAAGAACAACCUGGCCAGGAAAAAAAAUUAAAUUGGGAUGAUGACAUCAGAAAGUCAAACCACAGCGAGAAAGAGGUCUUCCUCGAAGGAUCCCUUGAAAGCCACGAAAGUCUGAUGGAGAAAGUGUGGAGGUUAUAAAGAAACACACAUCGGAUUCUAAAAAUUAUCUGUUACUGAUGAAUGAAACUGUUCAGCCGAUGACUUCAGAUCCAAACUGGAGAAUAAAAGAAUUCUUUGUAUAUUGGAACUGGCGAAACUGAUUUGAGGAAAAUUGCAAAUAGACGUGAAAGAUUACAUGGUGAAAGGUAAUUUUCUUUUAAAUCUAAUUAUUGCUAUGUAUAAUAUAAUGGAGUCAUUCCUUUUCUUGCAUUACAUUUUCCUUCGUUUUUAUGCAUUUUAAGAAUUUAUCUCAGAGUAAAGGACUUAAGACUGUCGUUUAUCUAAACACCAAUAUUUGUAGAUGUGUACAUUUAUUAUUGAG